UACAGAGGUCUCAAGCGUUGUUCGGAUUCAUUGGGCGUAAAGGGUGCGUAGGCGGCGCGGUAAGUCGGGUGUGAAAUCUCGGGGCUUAACUCCGAAACUGCAUUCGAUACUGCCGUGCUUGAGGACUGGAGAGGAGACUGGAAUUUACGGUGUAGCGGUGAAAUGCGUAGAUAUCGUAAGGAAGACCAGUGGCGAAGGCGGGUCUCUGGACAGUUCCUGACGCUGAGGCACGAAGGCCAGGGGAGGCAAACGGGG
rnacentral:rRNA from 1 species